UAGGAGUUCAAAACCAGUCUGGGUCAUGAG
rnacentral:piRNA from 1 species